ACGGGAGGCAGCAGUGGGGAAUCUUCCGCAAUGGGCGAAAGCCUGACGGAGCAAUGCCGCGUGAGUGAAGAAGGCCUUCGGGUUGUAAAACUCUGUCCUUAUUGAAGAGAGGUAUCUGCGUGAACAAUACAGAUAUAGGACGGUAAAUAAGGAGGAAGCCCCGGCUAACUACGUGCCAGCAGCCGCGGUAAUACGUAGGGGGCGAGCGUUGUCCGGAAUCACUGGGCGUAAAGGGCGCGUAGGCGGUUUAAUAAGUCAGUGGUGAAAACUGGGGGCUCAACUCCCAGCCUGCCACUGAUACUGUUAGACUUGAGUAUGGAAGAGGAGAAUGGAAUUCCUAGUGUAGCGGUGAAAUGCGUAGAUAUUAGGAGGAACACCAGUGGCGAAGGCGAUUCUCUGGGCCAAAACUGACGCUGAGGCGCGAAAGCGUGGGGAGCAAACAGGAUUAGAUACCCUGGUA
rnacentral:rRNA from 3 species